rnacentral:rRNA from 1 species
UACGUAGGGGGCAAGCGUUGUCCGGAAUCAUUGGGCGUAAAGAGCGUGUAGGCGGUCCGGUAAGUCCGCUGUGAAAGUCCAGGGCUCAACCCUGGGAUGCCGGUGGAUACUGUCGGGCUCGAGUCCGGAAGAGGAGUGUGGAAUUCCUGGUGUAGCGGUGAAAUGCGCAGAUAUCAGGAGGAACACCAAUGGCGAAGGCAGCACUCUGGGACGUGACUGAUGCUGAGGAGCGAAAGCGUGGGGAGCGAACAGG